GGCGCAUCAGCUCGGUUGGCUAGAGCGUCGGAUUCAUAAUCCGCAGGUCCGGGGUUCGAGUCCCUGAUGCGUCACCC
rnacentral:tRNA from 1 species